rnacentral:lncRNA from 1 species
UUUAUAUAUAAAAAAAAGAUUCGUCCUUCUUCAAGCAUGAAGUUCUUUCUCCUUUGAAAGAUUUCACAUCAAUGGUCUCCUCUACGAUCGAAAAAACAGAAUGUGUUGCUGAAAAUCCUGCCUCCAUUACUUUUUUAUUUGAAUGGCCUGCCAAAUGAUUUCUCAAACUCCAAUACCGUUGAUAGAAAAGAGGCACAAAUUUAGCAAGCUAAACAACAAAGGCAAUUUCUCACCAUUUCACAAGAUUUUAUAUUCAAUAAAAGAGUUUAGUGUGGGGGAGUGAAUCUUCUUUCUGAUCAAUGAUACUGAAAUCGUAGCUAACCUCAAUCUGAAUAAAAGAUGGGUAUAUAGCAGUGUCAGCAACGAUAAACAUAUGAUGGGUUCUAACUUCUAUGAGAUAUAAACGUUCCUUCACCAGCAUCUCCUAUUCCAAUGAGAGUUGAUAAUUUCUUUUAAGCCUUUGCAGAAUUCCUCUAGUUUUUAUAGUAAAUAGAAAGUGUCUUUUUCAAAUUUUGGACACUCCAUUGUAGGGUUUACUUUAAUAAUUUUGGCCUUGUUUUAUAAGAAACUUUUUGAGAUUUAAGCUCCAUAAAUGAUCAUUACUCCAAAUUUGACCGAUCCCAUAGAGAUUCAAUAACUGAUAGGCCACCAAAUUUCUUGGAGUUGAGUAGUCUUUUUGUAGAUCAAUUUCUCUUUUUUUUUUAAUUGAAAAAAAUUACUUUUUUACUUUUGUUAAAAUAUCAGCUGUAAACUAGUAACAUAUUUAUAAUUUUUGGUAUAAUAUAUGUAUAUUAUGCUACUACCUUAUCCCACAUAUUUAAAGUAAAUGAACUCAAUAAAAAACUUUACAGAAUUCAUCAAUUAAGAAAUGAUGUUAUUUUGAUUCAUUUUAACAUGAUCCUAACAGUUUUAUUUUUACUGUAGUCUUACAAAGGAAACAUUCUUUUUGAAAAAGUUCUUUGUAUGCAUUUAAUACUACUAUCUUUUCUGAAAUUAAUUUCAAGGCCAGAACAGAGAGAAUAUGUUUUCAAGAUUUUUUUCAAAUUUGUAAUAACUUUUCGAUUGCAAAGUACCAUUGUAUGGGACGGCUAAAUUAUAUUUCUUUUUGUAGAGUACCGCCCAAGAAAAUCAAACAUAGUAUUAAAAAAUCACAUUAUAUAUUUAUUUCAUGAAUAAAUAUAAUAUACGCUACUUUAAGGAUUUAUUUUUUUGAUCGAAAAGUAUAUUUGUAUUAUACUUUUAUUAUUAACCAGUUCAUCCUAUUAUACAUAUGAUUGGUUACAUAGGAAAUAAUUAAGGAAGAAAUUUUGUACAAAUAAAUUGAAGACAAUAAUUAAAUUUAUCUGUGAGCGCAGAAUCCAAAACUGAUCUUACUUUUUUUCUUAGUCAUCUGAAUUGGAAAAUAUCUGAGAUUUUCAUACAAAAACGUUUAAUCUAUAUCUUUUAACUUAGUACAUGAAGUAUUGGUGUUUAUGUAGUAAUUCAUGCACAUGUUAUUCA